rnacentral:lncRNA from 1 species
GGUCAGCAUGCGUCCUUGGCUUUCUAUAAGCAGAGAAUGUGUGUGACCAAGGCCACCAACUAUAAGCAGAGAAGCACCUCAGAAGCAGCACAAGGCAUCUAUCCUUCCUUGACCCCUGAUGGAACUAAGUCUUCCUCUUGGGUGCUCUGCUUACUUCUGAUCCUGGGACUUGAAAUAUACUGAAGGCUUGGCACCAGCCAGCCAGAACAGGAACCCAAAAUUUACACUGAAUUCAUGCUGAAACAAAAUUGAUACUAAACAGGAACCCAAAAAGACCACCAUCGUCAC